rnacentral:rRNA from 1 species
GUGGGGAAUUUUGGACAAUGGGCGCAAGCCUGAUCCAGCAAUGCCGCGUGCAGGAAGAAGGCCUUCGGGUUGUAAACUGCUUUUGUACGGAACGAAACGGUCCUGGCUAAUACCUGGGGCUAAUGACGGUACCGUAAGAAUAAGCACCGGCUAACUACGUGCCAGCAGCCGCGGUAAUAAGUAGGGUGGGAGCGUUAAUUGGAAUUACUGGGCGUAAAGCGUGCGCAGGCGGUGCUUUAAGGCAGGCGUGAAAUCCCCGGGCUCCACCUGGGAAUUGCGCUUGUGACUGCAGUGCUGGAGUGCGGCAGAGGGGGAUGGAAUUCCGCGUGUAGCAGUGAAAUGCGUAGAUAUGCGGAGGAACACCGAUGGCGAAGGCAAUCCCCGGGGCCUGCACUGACGCUCAUGCACGAAAGCGUGGGGAGCAAACAAGAUUAGAAACCCGAGUCGUCC